rnacentral:rRNA from 1 species
AUUGAACGCUGGCGGCAGGCUUAACACAUGCAAGUCGAACGAGUGGCGGACGGGUGAGUAACGCAUCGGAACGUACCGAGUAAUGGGGGAUAACUGUCCGAAAGGACAGCUAAUACCGCAUAUUAUUCGAGCGGCCGAUAUCUGAUUAGCUAGUUGGUGGGGUAAAGGCCUACCAAGGCGACGAUCAGUAGCGGGUCUGAGAGGAUGAUCCGCCACACUGGGACUGAGACACGGCCCAGACUCCUACGGGAGGCAGCAGUGGGGAAUUUUGGACAAUGGGCGCAAGCCUGAUCCAGCCAUGCCGCGUGUCUGAAGAAGGCCUUCGGGUUGUAAAGGACUUUUGUCAGGGAAGCGGUACCUGAAGAAUAAGCACCGGCUAACUACGUGCCAGCAGCCGCGGUAAUAC